AUUGAACGCUGGCGGCAUGCCUAACACAUGCAAGUCGAGCGGAGCGGCGAACGGGUGAGUAAUGCAUAGGAAUCUGCCCGGUAGUGGGGGAUAACGUCCCGAAACGGGAGCUAAUACCGCAUACUAUCAGAGCGGCCUAGGUCGGAUUAGCUAGUUGGUGGGGUAAAGGCCUACCAAGGCGACGAUCCGUAACUGGUCUGAGAGGAUGAUCAGUCACACUGGAACUGAGACACGGUCCAGACUCCUACGGGAGGCAGCAGUGGGGAAUAUUGCACAAUGGGCGCAAGCCUGAUGCAGCCAUGCCGCGUGUAUGAAGAAGGCCUUCGGGUUGUAAAGUACUUUCAGCGGGGAGGCGGUACCCGCAGAAGAAGCACCGGCUAACUACGUGCCAGCAGCCGCGGUAAUUC
rnacentral:rRNA from 1 species